AAAAAAAAAAAAACAGAGCAAAACAAAGGAAACAAACAAACAUUUCCCACAUCUUGAAUUUAUUAUACCAUAAAAACUUGUUGUUCACCUUCCACAAUUCCUGGUUCAGAGAGUGACAUUCAGUAAACAAUGAAUACAUGUGUGGUGGCAGAUAGAUGGGAGGAUGGGUGAAUAUAUGUAUGUAUUAAAUGUAUGUAUGUAUGUAUGUAUGUAUGUAUGUAUGUAUGUAUGCAUGUGCUGAUUUGAAUGAGAAUAGCCCUCAUGUAUUUGAAUAGAUAGUUACCAGUUAGUGGAACUGUUUGGGAAGAAUUAGAAGUGUGGCCUUGUUGGAGUAGGUGUGGUCUUGUUGGUGUGGGUGGGGACUUGUUGGAGUAGGUGUGGCCUUGUUGGAGUGGGUGUGGCUUUGUUGGAGGAAGCAUGGCCUUGGAGGUGGUGUGGCUUUGUUGGAGGAGGUGUGGCUUUGUUGGAGAAAGUGUGGCCUUGGAGGUGGUGUGGCUUUGUUGGAGGAGGUGUGGCCUUGUUGUAGGAGGUGUGGCUUCAUUGGAGUAGGUGUGGCUUUGUUAGAGGGAGUGUGGCCUUGGAGGUGGUGUGGCUUUGUUGUAGGAGGUGUGGCUUCGUUGGAGUAGGUGUGGCUUUGUUGGAGGAAGUGUGGACUUGGAGGUGGUGUGGCUUUGUUGGAGGCAGUGAGUCACUGCAGUGGGCUUUGAGGUUUCAAAAGCCCACACUAGGCCCCGACUCUCUUUCUAAGCCAGCAACUUGCGGAUUAGGUGUGAGCUUUCAGCUACUUCUCUAGCACCAUGUCUGCCUGCCUGCUGCCAUGCUUCCUGCCAUGGUGCUAAUGGACCAAAUCCCUAAAACUGUAAAUAAGCUCCCAAUUAAAUGCUUUCUUUUAUAUGAUGCCUUGGUCAUGGUGUCUUUCACUGCAAUAGAAAAGUAACUGAGACAGAAGUAUAAAAGAGUGGAUAGAUGGAUGAAUGGAUAAGUGGUAGGUAGAUGAUGCAUUUGGGCCACAUGGCUAUGUGGAUGGAUGAGUGUUUGGGUGGAUGUACGGAUGAAAGGACAGAUCAAUCAGUGAAUACAUGGAUCAAGGAGAAUAUGUGUGCAUGGAUGGAUACU
rnacentral:lncRNA from 1 species